rnacentral:rRNA from 1 species
CCUGGUUGAUCCUGCCAGUAGUCAUAUGCUUGUCUCAAAGAUUAAGCCAUGCAUGUCUAAGUGCAUGCCAAAUUAAGGUGAAACCGCGAAUGGCUCAUUAAAUCAGUUAUGGUUCCUUAGAUCGUACCCACAUUUACUUGGAUAACUGUGGUAAUUCUAGAGCUAAUACAUGCAAACCAGAGUUCCGACCAGAGAUGGAAGGAACGCUUUUAUUAGAUCAAAACCAAUCGGUGGCGGGCUUUGCUCGUCCACCGUUUACUUUGGUGACUCUGAAUAACUUUGUGCUGAUCGCACGGUCUCGUACCGGCGACGCAUCUUUCAAAUGUCUGCCUUAUCAACUGUCGAUGGUAGGUUCUGCGCCUACCAUGGUUGUAACGGGUAACGGGGAAUCAGGGUUCGAUUCCGGAGAGGGAGCCUGAGAAACGGCUACCACAUCCAAGGAAGGCAGCAGGCGCGCAAAUUACCCACUCCCGGCACGGGGAGGUAGUGACGAAAAAUAACGAUACGGGACUCAUCCGAGGCCCCGUAAUCGGAAUGAGUACACUUUAAAUCCUUUAACGAGGAUCAAUUGGAGGGCAAGUCUGGUGCCAGCAGCCGCGGUAAUUCCAGCUCCAAUAGCGUAUAUUAAAGUUGUUGCGGUUAAAAAGCUCGUAGUUGAAUCUGUGUCGCACGCUGUCGGUUCGCCGCUCGCGGUGUUUAACUGACAUGCUCGUGAGACGUCCUACCGGUGGGCUUAGCUCCUUCGGGGGCGGUCCAACUAAUAUCCCAUCGCGGUGCUCUUUAUUGAGUGUCGAGGGGGGCCGGUACGUUUACUUUGAACAAAUUAGAGUGCUUAAAGCAGGCUAUCAUUUGCCUGAAUAUUCUGUGCAUGGAAUAAUGGAAUAGGACCUCGGUUCUAUUUUGUUGGUUUUAAGAAACCCGAGGUAAUGAUUAAUAGGGACAGAUGGGGGCAUUCGUAUUGCGACGUUAGAGGUGAAAUUCUUGGAUCGUCGCAAGACGGACAGAAGCGAAAGCAUUUGCCAAAAAUGUUUUCAUUAAUCAAGAACGAAAGUUAGAGGUUCGAAGGCGAUCAGAUACCGCCCUAGUUCUAACCAUAAACGAUGCCAGCUAGCGAUCCGCCGAAGUUCCUCCGAUGACUCGGCGGGCAGCUUCCGGGAAACCAAAGCUUUUGGGUUCCGGGGGAAGUAUGGUUGCAAAGCUGAAACUUAAAGGAAUUGACGGAAGGGCACCACCAGGAGUGGAGCCUGCGGCUUAAUUUGACUCAACACGGGAAACCUCACCAGGCCCGGACACCGGAAGGAUUGACAGAUUGAGAGCUCUUUCUUGAUUCGGUGGGUGGUGGUGCAUGGCCGUUCUUAGUUGGUGGAGCGAUUUGUCUGGUUAAUUCCGAUAACGAACGAGACUCUAGCCUGCUAAAUAGGCGUACCUUAUGGUAUCUUGAAGGCCCCCGGCUUCGGUCGGUGGGGUUUUACUACCAACGUAC